GUGCGCCCACCCCGCCCCUCCGGCUGUGACCCCGGGUCCCUACGGUUCUGGACAACUAUACAGCUCCGGACCACGCCCCGCUGAUGCGUAGGGGCCGCCGAGCCGGUCGAGGGCUGUCCACCCAGUUGGGGGUCGCAGCAGAGCGCUCCGAGGUGCUUAGCUGGGUUUCAGCGAUCAGGAAGGAAGUGGGCUUCAACUCCGGGAUAUCACGGGUCCUGCAGUGAGAGGUGGAAUUGCCACCAGAGUUCUGCCCACUGUGAGUGCCCAGCAAAGGAUGAGGAAGGUUAUGGAGUCUGUCUGCUAGUAUGUAAAAACAGGAGGGAGUUUCAUCUGGUUGGAAUGGUUUGGGUGUGGUUCCACCAGAAGAGAGGAAAAGGUCUAAAUAUGUCUUCAAGGUCCUUCUCGUUUUAUGGGCGUAUUUUAAAACCCUGAACUUGAAGAUGAUCAGCGUCCAUCACCGUCUGAACAGACAAACUACGCUGUCAUCAGCAGCUGGGAAAACUGCUGGGGUGACAUAGUCAAGUUACAGACAGCAUAAAACUACACUCUUCACUGGUUGAAACAAAGAGGAAAUUUAUUGAUUCACAGAUGAGGUUCAGAGAUUGGGAAGGUUUCCGGAUGAAGUUAAUUCAGUGGCUCCAGCUCCAUUUUUCUGCCGUUCCCUUGAGUCCGCCUUUCUCUGUGUGCCGGCUUCCUCCUCAAGUUGGUGGUGAAUUGGCUACAGCAGUUCAGGACCUCACUUUCACACCUGACCAUGUUCAGAGGACAUUGAAGGAAAUUUGUCUCUGGAAGUUAUCCAAUGUCUUCAAUGAAAGUUCAGCCUCAGGUUAUUCAGCCUUGUAAGUUUUUUCUUUUAACAAUUAGAUGCCUGAAAAAGUAUCUCUGAAGUUCAUUAGUUUACAGGGUCGUUGAUAGAUUAAAUGAGAUAAUAUAAGUGAAACCGCCUUGUAAACUGAUAUGUACUUGUAAGAUAUCUUUUCUCAGAAAGGUCUUUUUUAAAAAAGAAUAAUAAAUGUGCUCAACUGGA